UCAGAAAGACACCCACAUGAUCACUGUGGUGUUCACAGAAGCCUUUGUUGGGAAGAAGCUCACCCAGCCUGGCAAGGGGAGCAGGAGGGAGAGAAGCCCAUGUGAGCUCGGGCCAACUGGGAAUGCAAACCGCACUGACCAAGCAGAGUUGGGGAAGUUGCCAGCAAAUGCAGAAAAAAGGAAAGGAAGGAAGAUGUGGAAAGCAUGAGGUUUAAAAGCUACUGGUGGCCUAUGGGUGAACCUUCCUUGGGCUAAAUCUGCGCUUCCCAAUUCAAGACAGAGCUUCCUGGGAACGAGGUGAUUUGUUGCUUCACGCAGCUUUGUAGUUGGUGGGUUUGCAGGAGGAACACAGCCUAGAAGAGAGCCUGGUCCCAGAGAGGUGAUGCUGAUCUGGAGAUCUGACCUUUCUCUGAAAACAGCUUGGAAUGUGUCUUUUACUGAUCCAAACUCAUACACUCUGGAUCAGGUUAAUGAGGCAACUGAAAUGGUAGUUGCUCCUGAAAACCUCAGGCUGGGUUUUAAAGCGUAGGAAAACACCUCUUCAUAGCUUGGGUUUGUGCAUCCACUGUAACCUCCA